rnacentral:rRNA from 1 species
UACGAAGGGGGCUAGCGUUGUUCGGAUUUACUGGGCGUAAAGCGCACGUAGGCGGAUUGUUAAGUCAGGGGUGAAAUCCUGGAGCUCAACUCCAGAACUGCCUUUGAUACUGGCAAUCUUGAGUCCGGAAGAGGUGAGUGGAAUUCCGAGUGUAGAGGUGAAAUUCGUAGAUAUUCGGAGGAACACCAGUGGCGAAGGCGGCUCACUGGUCCAUUACUGACGCUGAGGUGCGAAAGCGUGGGGAGCAAACAGG